rnacentral:rRNA from 1 species
GACGAACGCUGGCGGCGUGCUUAACACAUGCAAGUCGAACGGUAAGGCCCUUCGGGGUACACGAGUGGCGAACGGGUGAGUAACACGUGGGUGAUCUGCCCUGCACUUCGGGAUAAGCCUGGGAAACUGGGUCUAAUACCGGAUAGGACCACUGCCUGCAUGGGUGGUGGUGGAGAGCUUUUGCGGUGUGGGAUGGGCCCGCGGCCUAUCAGCUUGUUGUUGGGGUGAUGGCCUACCAAGGCGACGACGGGUAGCCGGCCUGAGAGGGUGACCGGCCACACUGGGACUGAGAUACGGCCCAGACUCCUACGAGAGGCAGCAGUGGGGAAUAUUGCACAAUGGGCGCAAGCCUGAUGCAGCGACGCCGCGUGAGGGAUGACGGCCUUCGGGUUGUAAACCUCUUUCAGCACCGACGAAGCGCAAGUGACGGUAGGUGCAGAAGAAGGACCGGCCAACUACGUGCCAGCCGCCGCCGUAA